GUGUCAGCAGCCGCGGUAAUACAGAGGGUGCGAGCGUUAAUCGGAAUUACUGGGCGUAAAGCGCACGUAGGCGGCUAUGUAAGUCAGGUGUGAAAUCCCCGGGCUCAACCUGGGAACUGCACUUGAGACUGCAUGGCUAGAGUAUGGGAGAGGAAGGCGGAAUUCCCGGUGUAGCGGUGAAAUGCGUAGAUAUCGGGAGGAACAUCAGUGGCGAAGGCGGCCUUCUGGCCCAAUACUGACGCUCAGGUGCGAAAGCGUGGGGAGCAAACAGGAUUAGAUACCCCCGUAGUCC
rnacentral:rRNA from 1 species